UGUUACGGUCCGCCAUUUUUUACCUCGGGAAGCGUGUGAUUUCGUGUCGUGUUUUAUCGCGUUGUUUUACGGAAAUACUGACUUGGUUCUAGAACGAGCCGAAAAUGCCGGGUUUUAGUAGCGUUGGCACGUUUAAAAUCUUCAUCGGUAAUCUUGCCGACAAGACGUCAAAUGCCGAUAUUAAACCGUUGUUUGAAAAAUACGGGAAGGUCGUAGAGUGCGACGUGGUCAAAAACUAUGGAUUCGUGCAUAUGGAGAACGAAGAGGCUGGAAGGAACGCAAUACAGAACCUGAACGGACAUAUAGUCCACGGGCAGCCGAUCAAAUGCGAGGCUGCGAAGAGUCGCAAGGGACCGAACACUCCGACAACUAAAAUAUUUGUCGGCAAUCUUACAGAUAACACCAAAGCGCCGCAAGUGCGCGAACUUUUCGCCAAGUACGGCACAGUUGUAGAGUGUGAUAUCGUGAGGAAUUACGGAUUCGUUCAUCUGGAAGCAACAGGUGACGUCAAUGACGCCAUCAAGGAGUUGAAUGGACAGAUGGUGGAUGGCCAACCUAUGAAGGUUCAAAUCUCCACCAGCAGAGUACGACAGAGGCCAGGAAUGGGUGAUCCUGAGCAAUGCUAUCGAUGCGGUCGCGGGGGUCACUGGUCCAAGGAAUGCCCCAAGGGAGGAAUGGGAGGAGGACCGGAUAGGAACGGAUACAGAGAACGAAUGUUUGGACGCGACCCGUAUCCUCCACCGCCGCCACCACCGUUCCUUCGGGACCGGCUAAUGGGUGGUGGCCGCUUUGGAGAUUACGAAAGCUACUAUGACAGGAGGGGCUUCGAGGACACCAGGGAUCUCUACGAGAGGCGGUUUACGGGUAUGGGAUCCAUGCGUGACACUGGCUUCUCCCGUGGUAACGAGUACGGAAUGUUCAGCCGCCGAUCACCCCCUCCGAGUGGCAACAACGGCCGGUUCAGUGCACCUCAGGCUGCGUACCAUCUUUGUCCAUGAAUGCGGGCAACCCUAGAGAGACAGUCCCGGGCCAACGUACAAGUCGUGCAAGAGACACGAUAACACCCUACCCCCCAAGCGCUUCUGUGGACAUUCUUGGAAGGAGCUCUGGGCUUGAUGUGAUGUUCGAGUACGGGAGAGAGAGGGAGGGUGAGAGAGGUCCAACGUGUCCCGUGUGGCGAGAGGUAAUUGUCGACCAGGACCUCAGGUGGCUCCAUUGACAAGGCGCGCACCGCAGCCGACAGAGGUGUCCCGAUAUAUGGGUUGCGAGACCGCAUCGUCGUAUCCAAGGCAAGUCCACCACCACACCAACCAACACACACAGUCUUCAGUAAUCUCAUCUUCAGUAAUCUCUGCGUAAGAAAGCAAGUAAAAAAGCACAAAAAAUUAAAACACACACAUACACGUACACACAUAC